UAAGCGGAGGAAAGAAACUAACAAGGAUUCCCCUAGUACUGCGAGUGANGCGGGAAAAGCUCAAAUUUGGAAUCUGGUGGUCUUUGGCCAUCCGAGUUGUAAUUUAGAGAAGCGUCUUCCGCGCUGGACCGUGCACAAGUCUCCUGGAAUGGAGCGUCAUAGAGGGUGAGAAUCCCGUCUUUGGCAUGGAAUCCCAGGGCUUCUGUGAUGCGCUCUCGACGAGUCGAGUUGUUUGGGAAUGCAGCUCAAAAUGGGUGGUGAACUCCAUCUAAAGCUAAAUAUUGGCGAGAGACCGAUAGCGAACAAGUACCGUGAGGGAAAGAUGAAAAGCACUUUGGAAAGAGAGUGAAACAGUACGUGAAAUUGUUGAAAGGGAAACGCUUGAAGUCAGUCGCGUCGACCGAGACUCAGCCUUGCCUCGGCUUGGUGUACUUCUCGGCUUGACGGGUCAGCAUCGAUUUCAAUCCUCGGAUAAUGGCAAGGGAAAGGUAGCACCUUUUUAGGUGUGUUAUAGUCCUCUGUCGCAUGCGAGGGUCGGGAUCGAGGAACUCAGCACGCACCUCAGGGUGUCGGGGCCUUGGCCCACGUUUACGUGCUUAGGAUGCUGGCGUAAUGGCUUUAAACGACC
rnacentral:rRNA from 1 species